GGCAGCCGCCUUUAAGGGGGAGCUUGUCGGUGGAGGGCGCGACAUCGAGAGCCACACGGCCGGUACUCGAGCUCGAAAGACGGCCACUUGAAACAUCACCCCCGCGGUGUUCUACACCCGCGAGUUCGGAUGCGUACUCUAAGCAUUUGCUUCAUUGUCAUCCGAUUGAACAAUGUGACACCAGAAGGAGGCAGCUGCACUCCCAAUGGUCCACAAUCUCCCCUCACUCGAGUAGAAUGUACUUAAUGAACGUGCCCACUGUCGCGGCGCCUCACACCGAGUGGAGAGCAUGCGGACACCCCGGCGGCUUUAGCAUUCCCGUCUGCCUCAAUGACUCGGACACGGAGUUGUCCAACGGGGGUUCUCCUAUCGCAAACAAGGUCCAGAUGAUCAUUGAGAGCCUGAGGAGCAGUCAGUCCUCACUCGAUAUGAACGACCAGGUGGAGGGCAAUGUGCUUCAGGGACAGGACGGGCCUCCCCAGGCCUGUAAGGUGGCGGUGGGCUCCCUCGUGGAAGCCAAGUCCAAAACAAAAAACUGUUCAACCGAUGUCACUUUCAAGGACGGUGACCAGAGCAGCGAUAGCGACGACUCCGUGGACAAAGGAAUCGAGGAGGCUAUCCUUGAAUACCUGAAGGAAAAGGAUGGCCACAAACGCAAGGCCGAACCUUUUGUCCCAUCGUCCAGGCAAACCGUUCCUGAAAUGAAGUCGGAAGGCCAGGCCUUUUCCUUAAUGAGAAGCCAGCUUUCCAAAAGUGUCAUCCAAGCCACACAGACAACCGCGCCCCUGAAGAAGUACAUUAAACACAAGGCCUCGCUUCACGAGGCCGCCGUCGGGAACUCUGAGUUGGCUCGCGUCAUGAUGCGAGAUCAGAUGAGCAACAAGUCAAACAGUGCGGUACGGGACGUCAAAGCGAAAGACGCUUCCGACAACUCCAGCGACGACGGCAUCGAGGAGGCCAUCCAGAGGUACCAGCUGGAGAGGACGGAGCAGCAGACCAGGGGGGACGCUUUCAAACCGCUCGCCUCCGUGGAAGAAUCCGACUCCUCCAGCGACGACGGAAUCGAGGAGGCCAUUCGCAGCUAUCAGCUCGAACAACUCAAAUCUCAAGACAAUGCCUCCGGAAGCGCAGGCCUCGCCAAACUCAAAAGGAAAAAUAAACCAGCGGAGAAGACGGCAAAUUGGGCGCAGCCGCCGUUUCCCAUUCUCUUGGAGGACUCGCUCAAUGUCAGCCAGAGAAGUGAAGGUAACGGUUUUCAUCUGUUGAGAACCGAAAGCUUUACGGAGCAGCCGGUUCCGCUCCUUCCCAAAGCCAAUACCACCGCCGAGCUGAUGUGCGCCGAAGCCAUACUGGACAUCUCCAAAACGGUCAUGCCGGGAGCCUUCGCGUCCCAUCUGGACAUGGGUCCAAGUGGCAGCGCCCUCGCCGUCGCCGCGCCGCUAUCCACAACUCCGAAGCAGGACAGCGACGGAAGCUCGGUCGACAGCGAAGAUGGGAUCGAGCAAGAGAUUAUGAAAUUUCUCGAACAGAAGGCGCAAAUGCUCCAACGUCCACCCGAAGAACCGUCGACGACGCAAGAAGUCACACAAAAGAAAUCCCAGAGGUUGUCCUUAACCAAGAAGCGCAAAUCCAAAGAGGACAAAAGCUCCAGCGCGUCCUCCGUAGGUUCAUCUACCAAUCCUCUGAAGGCACAAAGCCCACCGGAGGCCUUGGAGAGAUCGACGGAGAAAAGCGGGGACAAGAGCAGCUCGCUCGACAGCGACGAGGAUCUGGACACGGCCAUCAAAGCCCUUCUCAAGACCAAGAAGAAGUCCAAGAAGAUGAGCAGGUCGGAACGCGAUUCCAGAAAACGCCCGACGGAAAAAGCCGAACAAUCGCGAGCCGCCGCCAAAAAGGCAAAAGUCGAUCAUUUAGCCAAGCUUACCGUUUUGAAAAAGGGCCACAAAAGGAAAAGUGAUUCGCCAAAGAGGACCGCUUUGCCAAAUGCGUCGCCAACCAUUAAGCGACAGAUGAGCCGCGGCGAGAACGACGUCCGAGGUCAUCCGCCCACAACUGCUCUGCGGAUAAAAGAAGAUAGCAGCUCGGUAGAUAGCGACGACAGCAUCGAGCAGGAAAUUCGGAAGUUCCUCGCAGAGAAGGCCGAGAAGGUCUCAGAAAGAACAAACGACGACGCGGAGGCGCCCAGGAACGGCACCGCGGAUGGCGCCCCGCUGCCACGUGACCUCGAACGGGAUGAUCAGCUGGCUGAAAUUCCGACACAAAGCGUCGAUACGUCGGCUCCGCCCCAAGACAAAUCCGCGCCCUCCGCUCCAGACGGCUCGGCGGUCCUUGCGGUCGCCCCGCAGUGGUCCUGCAACCCCAGAACUUCGCCGUGGUCGGGCCGAGCUGAGCAAAAACCAGUGACACCCGCGAGGGUCGACGACGGACCAACCGAAAAGGUCUCGGCUCUGGAUCAGUCCAUCAAGUGGCGCCAGAGUUUCGGACUCCCCAUCGUCGACCCCAAAAAUUUCAACCGAACGUCAUUUCACAUUAGCACGUCCGCGACGAGAGCCAGUCCGUCACCGGCGUCUCUAGGGAAGCCCAGCGAACUCAAGCCCCCAACGCCGGCCUCUCUCUGGUCCUCAGCCAAACGUUCGUGGUCCACAGACAGAACCCCGAGGGCCCCCGUGACGAGCGGCGCCUCAAAGCCCUUCGUCGCCGACGGUUCGUCCGGGCAACGUCCGGGCGCGGCCAGUACGGUGCACGUGCCGCGCGACAAGAGCGUGUUUGUCGAACUGGAGUCGGGUCGGACCAACCACGUCCAGGUGCAGAGCAGCCAGAGCGACGAGGGAGAGGCCGGGGCCGACCAGAGCAGAGCCCUUCCACUCGAGGGAGCUGAUGAGAAGUUUAUAGAUGAGUCAGAAGGUGAGACUCCAGAGAAGAAGCAGAGCACUUUGUCCUUGUCGUACGCCCUGGACCCCGGCAUCGUCAUUCGGCCGUGCAUCGCGCUUUGCUCGGAAGAACGCAGUAGCAUGUGCCGCAAUAGCUACAAGAACGAGGUAUCCUUUUUCUAUCCUUCUUUUGUGACAUUGCAACAAAAUGUCCGCCACAAAUCUCAAGAAAAAGCAAAAACAACUUGUGUUCUUUUCUAAAUUCUUUGUACCUGAUGAAGUCUUUAUGUUGAAAACUCACCUAUUUGCAGACAUGCAAGAUGCCGAACGUCAAAAGAAGGUUGCAGUUUUUUCCGGUACGCAGGUAGAUGGACGAGAAAGCGGAACGUGUUGUAUCUGUGAAACAUGUUGAAAGAAUGGUUGGUUUCAUUUCUAGAUGAAUGUCACUGUUGCACAUUUGUUGACUGGUGGGGGACAAAAGUGAAUUUUACCUCCCUGUUGCUGCCAUUUGUUUGGCCGUUGUUGUGUGUUGCCUUUGAAUUGUUUACAUUUGGUGCUGUUAUAUGAUGUGGUCAAUGCUUGUGUCUUGACAUUUUUCAGACUAAUGUAUACCUUGUUGCACGUUAUUGUAUUAUUAGAAUAUUAAACAUUUGUCUGAUA